UACCCGCAUAGAAAAAUACGGUUUGUCAUACAUUGCGAACAGUUAGAAUCCUGUUACCGUUAAGGUUAAUUUACCACAAACAGUUGCGUUUAUGUUAAACAAUAUGAAACCCAUUGCUCAAGACCAUAUAACAUGUUUUGAGUAAUGCGUACAAAAUUGUGAAAAUUUAUUACACUGUUCCGAUAUAGUUCAACAAUAAAGGUGCUGGUCCCCGUUAGAAAUAGUAGCAAUGUUUAGCCACAUUUUGUCAAACAGUUGGCUCUCAUAUUCAUGCAACCCAUUUACACGUGUAAAAUUCACUAUAUAUUACCUUUGUUUUACAGUUCGGCAAACAGUUAAAUGCAUUGGUGAUGGCGAGUCCACGCUCAAAAACUGAGACGAUUAUGACGCUAACGGUGACUAAAUUUCUCACAUUUAUUAAAAAAUUAUUGAUAAUUCCACACAAGUCGUCCUAUGAAAUAAAACUACAAUAAAUUUAUGUUAUCCAAUUUUUUAGUCGAGUUUAAUUUUAUUACAUACAGAACACAAUAAAUAUUUUUGGUUUCGAACUUUGAAACUCACUCAGUCGUUGGCAGUGUGGCAUUUUUUAACCGUGUUUGUCUUUACGCAUUGCCAGUGAAUAUCUGUCAUCAAACGACAAAAAGAAAACAUAAAAGUGAAAUCAACAUCUUUGCAAGUUUUUUCUCAUAGAUUUAAGUUUGAUUUCAAUUGCAAUUCGAUCAUAUUCGAAAUCAAAGAAAUCAGAUGAUGCAGUGGCGGUCGAAGCGGGAGAAAAACUUGCUGGAGAGAAACUUGCUGCCAUCAUUCAUAGCCAUUCCAGCCUCUACCCCGAGUAACGACAUCGCUCAUGAAUCGGAACUGCAAUGGAAGCUGGUCUGUGAACUCGCCACUUGCCACAGGACUGGUGCUAAAAUCCAAAAGGGGUGUUCGGAGGUUCAGCAUCCGAUUCAGUUAACGUUAUGGGGGCUUUCGCUGCAGCAUGGCAGCAGCUGCUGAUCAGAUUCGAGUUAAAUUCAAUAUGUGUGAAGAAAAAUGUGUCAUUUUAAUUCUGAACGAUUAGCAUCUUAAUGAGUGAUGCGUGAUUAAAAUAAUAAUUAUUAAAUUUAAAGUAAA